AGGGAGAAGCAGGUCUCCCCGGAGUUCCAGGCUUCCCAGGUGUGAGGGGAGAGAAAGGAAGCCAGGGAGAAAAAGGUGAACUGGGGCUUCCGGGAUUGAAAGGCAGCCGUGGUGACAAGGGUGAAGCUGGUCCCGCAGGCCCCCCUGGAUUACCAGGAACUAUGUCCCUGUUCACUCCACACCCGAGAAUCCCGG